GGCGGAUCCAGGAUUUCCAAAAGGGGGGGGGGGGCACAUUUUCGCCUGGAAAAACUUGACAAGCAAAAAAAAAAAGGUUAUCGCCCAAAAUGUAAGGUCAUUUUGUAUUUGCACCUAAGACAUUGGAGUAGAAUAUGGACCCAUAUUUAAGGACAUUAUCUAAAAAUUGGGCCAUGCUUAGGGAUUUUCCAGCAUAAAACCAUACGCCAUGUUUAGGGAUUUCUUCAAAAAAGGCGACCCAUUCCUGCGGCAUAUCCCCAUAUGCCUUAUCUCGUGAGUACCCCCCCCCCCUACCCCCUGGGCUACUAUGUAGCUGACUCUUGAUUUUUAUGCAAGCACAUGAGGUGCUAUAUAGAUGACAGAUUUUUUUUCACUUUAAAUUGUUAAAUGGAUGAUUACAAUGCUUUUCCAGGUGCUUUCAGUUAAAGGGUGUCUCGUAUGAUGCAUCAUUAUUAAUAUUGAAUGCAUAAUCAUGAUUUUUUUUUUACAUCCUUUUACAUCAAGCACAAUACUCGGGGGGGGGGGGCAUAUGGCAUAUGGUCCCCCUUGACAUUUUUCAGAAUAAAUCUGCCACUCAAAAUUGUAUUCCUGCACCGCUGACUGACGUUUUACUUUCAAGUCUCACACAACUUUUGAUACUAAAUUUGCCAUUCCCAGGUACAGGGUCAGGAAAUUUUGCAACAUUAUGUUUGUUUAAGUACAUGUCAGACAAAAACAUGAUUACAUGUAAAAAGUCAAUAUUCAUAACUGGGUAAUUUUUUUUUAUUGACAAUAGUAAUUUAAUGUCACUGAUGAACUUUGUCUUGAAAAUAACAAUAAAAAAAAAAUUUAAGAAGUUAAGAAAAAAUAUUUAAAAAAAAACAUGAAUUGAAAGGAAUUUAUUUUGAUACCAGAUUUGUUAAAGUAAAGAAGUUAGGAUUGCUCUAGAAAGGAAUAUGUACACCAAAGUUUGGCAUUCUAUUACGAGCUUUUUUAGUAAAUUAAAGCAAAAGGUAUGAUUUCAUAAUUUUUUUAAUUGCGCCGCCCAUGGCUGAGGAACCAUAUAGUGCCCCUCCCCAGGCCAGAAGUGACUUUAAUCAAAACACCCUUGGACUACUAUAAUGAUUAACACACUGGCAACUGAGCUUGUAUAUUAAUUUUAUGAAUAUGUUUUAUCUCUUUGCUUUUUGCUUUUAAUUGCUUACUACAGUUAUGAAAAAGAAGUCUGGAACCUCAGAACCACCAUAACUGUGUCUGCUACAAUGUGUGUUCUUGCAACCAGCUGAUUGAUUCAUUUUAUCAACUCUUGAAUGGUUGAUUAUCAGAACUGAAUUCAGAGCUGCUCCUGUCUGUAGUAACAUCAUUAUAAGAGUGGACUUCAGAAUGAGGGCGUUGCUUAUUUAAAAACUUCACUCCAUGGAGCUCUCCAAAUUUAUCUCAAAUUAAACUGCUUCUGGAAACCAGAUUUGUUCCUACAAGCAGAGACGAUUGUGGCUUUCCUGACUGGACUUCUAUGGAUUCUUCAUGCCAACCUUAUGGACUGUGGUCUUCUGCAUGAGACACAUCAAUUUCAAACAAGACAUUCUGUGGUGAAACACUUGAUGAAGAUGAUAUGAAAUUUUUAUUUCAUAUAACUGAAUCUCAGAAGUAAUUCCUCGAGAGCAAGAAACAUUGAAAAAUGAAAAUAAAAGGUCCAUCAAUAA